UGGGGGAUAUUGCACAAUGGGCGAAAGCCUGCUGCAGCGACGCCGCGUGGGGGAUGAAGGCCUUCGGGUUGUAAACUUCUUUUGCUCUGAACAAGGCAUGCCUUUGGGGUGUGUUGAGUGUAGGGGUUGAUUAGCGCCGGCUAACUACGUGCCAGCAGCCGCGGUAAUACGUAGGGCGCGAGCGUUGUCCGGAAUUAUUGGGCGUAAAGGGCUUGUAGGUGGCUGGUUGCGUCUGUCGUGAAAGCUCAUGGCUUAACUGUGGGUUUGCGGUGGGGACGUGCUUGCUUGAGUGCAGUAGGGGAGGCUGGAAUUCCUGGUGUAGCGGUGGAAUGCGCAGAUAUCAGGAGGAAUACCGGUGGCGAAGGCGGGUCUCUGGGCUGUUACUGACGCUGAGGAGCGAAAGCGUGGGGAGCGAACAGG
rnacentral:rRNA from 1 species